rnacentral:rRNA from 1 species
AGAGUUUGAUCAUGGCUCAGGAUGAACGCUAGCUACAGGCUUAACACAUGCAAGUCGAGGGGAAACGACAUCGAAAGCUUGCUUUUGAUGGGCGUCGACCGGCGCACGGGUGAGUAACGCGUAUCCAACCUGCCCACCACUUGGGGAUAACCUUGCGAAAGUAAGACUAAUACCCAAUGAUAUCUCUAGAAGACAUCUGAAAGAGAUUAAAGAUUUAUCGGUGAUGGAUGGGGAUGCGUCUGAUUAGCUUGGUUGGCGGGGUAACGGCCCACCAAGGCGACGAUCGAGUAGGGGUUCUGAGAGGAAGGUCCCCCANAUUGGAACUGAGACACGGUCCAAACGUCCUACGGGAGCA